UGGGGAAUAUUGCACAAUGGAGGGAACUCUGAUGCAGCGACGCCGCGUGAACGAAGAAGGCUUUCGAGUCGUAAAGUUCUUUUAUAUGGAAAGAUAAUGACGGUACCAUAAGAAAAAGCCCCGGCUAACUACGUGCCAGCAGCCGCGGUAAUACGUAGGGGGCUAGCGUUGUCCGGAAUCACUGGGCGUAAAGGGUUCGCAGGCGGAAAUGCAAGUCAGGUGUAAAAGGCAGUAGCUUAACUACUGUAAGCAUUUGAAACUGCAUAUCUUGAGAAGAGUAGAGGUAAGUGGAAUUUUUAGUGUAGCGGUGAAAUGCGUAGAUAUUAAAAAGAAUACCGGUGGCGAAGGCGACUUACUGGGCUCAUUCUGACGCUGAGGAACGAAAGCGUGGGUAGCAAACAGG
rnacentral:rRNA from 1 species